UAUGGGGGGCUCUGCACGGGGGUGGUGGAUAUGGGGGGCUCUGCUCGGGAGGCAGGGAGGGUGGUUAUGGGGGUCCCUGCGCACGGGUGAUGGAUAUGAGGGGUGGAUAUGGGGGGCUCUGCUCAGGAGGGUGGGAGGGUGGUUACGGGGGUCCCUGGGCAGGGGUGAUGGAUAUGAGGGGUGGAUAUGGGGGGCUCUGCUCAGGAAUGUGGUUACGGGGGUCCCUGCACGCGGGUGAUGGAUAUGAGGGGUGGAUAUGGGGGGCUCUGCUCAGGAGGCAGGGAGGAUGGUUA